AACUAUUUUGUUUUAACACCAUUAUUUUAAAGUCUGUUUCAACAAAUUACCUCCCCAAACUGCGAAGACAUAUUCUAAUCUGUCAAAGAAAAUGAUCUUACCACUAGAUGGCAGUAAAGUGCUGACUUUACUCUUACCUGAAUGUUUUCUGGUAAAUAAUAAUAAUCUUCUGCUUUAUAUUUAGCUUCCGCUAUGUGCUUUUGAACUUGUGGACCUAAAUAAUUUGACUAGUGCUUUAAAAAUUGCACAACUAAAUUUUGAAUUUGUGCUGCCCACCUGUGUAAACUGCACACCUCACAAAUGGACAGUGGGGGUUAAUUAUGCUAACAGCUAAUAGCAAAGCUAACAUUUCAUUUAGCAGAUUGRCAUUUUUGCUAACCAAGACCAAUUAGCUUCCACUAAAUUUAGUUCUGCUAAAUUGAAGUCCGCUAACAAAAACAUCUAUUCCCUCACACAUGCGGUGCUUUUCGUGUGCCUUUUGUGUGCUUGUAGCAUCGUUAKCAUUUUUCUGUGUUCUCCCGCCUGUGAUGCAGAUUGAGUGAGCCGCCUUCGUCCACUCAAAUCCUUCUAACAUGGACAGAAAGGAUGAUUUUGGCUAAAGAAAAUACCCUAAAGCACUUUGGGAAAUGUAUAGUUUCAUCUCGGUGGAUUAAUGAUUCAGAGGCAAUAGCAUUUGUUAGCAUUAGCUUCCUUACAAUUAGCUACAAUUAGCAACUAGUUAGCAUUUUCUUACCUUUUUAGUGGUUUAGCGUUUGCAUAGCUAGUUUUUUAGUUAGCGGAUUGGCAGUUACCGAAGCUAACUUUAAUGUAAGCUGUGAAAAUACUGUCAGCAAACUCAAGCAUGCAGGAGAUUAUUAUAUGUGCCUAUUUCUGUGACUAAUUUCUGCCACCCACUCUGGCUCUGCUCUUGAGURAAGAUUUGACAGAAAGGUUGUGAACGGUUAAUAUCUUACCUGUAGUAGAUACUGUAGCUCUUUAAAUGGUCAAGGAUAAAGUAGGGGGGAAGGUGCCUUUGUGAAACUCUUUACAAAAAGCAGCUGCCUUCAAUCCUCUGACCGUUUAUAAAUCAGUGACGGAGUGGGCCAUAUCCCACACAGACGUGAGGUUUUAGACAGGAAGCAAGUUUCGUAGAACCAUAAGAGCAGAACUCAGCUGCGUUUACAUGGAUCUGUAUGAACUAAAUGAGCUGAUGAACUCUGUAGUGAUCCUCAUCGUGUCAUCGUGGUUACUUAAUCUGUGUCAUCACUCCUCUAAUGAAUCUGCUUAUUUUUGUUCAGGCUUUUAAAUCUAAGAUGAAGACUUUUAAACUGAGUCCAGCUGAAUUUUGUCUGAUGUCCAGAUUCUGGUUCUGGUGAUAAAACGGACUGUGGGUGCCGGCCUCAGGGACUUCUGUUUAAAGAACUUGUGACUAAAAAUACAAAACAUUUCAAAUGUUCUGAAAAUGAAUGAAUCCAGAUCUGUCCUCUGAACCCUCUCAUGUCUGAGGAUUUAUUAGGUGUUACACAAUCAGGACUUGGAUUGAGAUUAUGUAAUCUGAGGCCUCAAAGUACCAUCAGUGGUUCAGAUGUACGACUCAAAGAUAGAGGCGAAGUGGUGAAAACAGAACAGUGAUCCUGGUGGAACAGUUUUACAUGCUUCAAUUGCACCACUGUGUGGUUACUGUUAGAUUACACAUCACAGUAUUAAUACUGUAUUUAAUGGUAUUUAAUAAUUUAACCCUGUAGUGGUUCUGAGAUUUAUUCUGUCAUGACAAGUUGUUCAUCUUGAAAAAAAACCUUCAUAGCUUUUAAAAAGAGCAUUAAUUAUAAGUUGAAAUGUCCCUUUUGGUUAAGUUUCAGACUUUAGGUUUUAUACUUCUUUUUUUUGUUACAAAAUCUGUUACAGAAAGGUUUAAGAAGCAUAUUGCACUUUUUAAAUUAGCUCAGGAUUAAAAGCUUUAGCUCUGUAAAUACUAGUUUUUGUAUUUUUUGUAAGAUUUUUUUUUUAAAAAACAAAGUGAGUUUCUAUAAACAAAUCUCAACAAAAAUCACCAUCAUGAAUUUCUGGCAAGUUAAACACUUCAGUUUUGUUUUCGACUUUCUUACAUUUGUUUCAUGAUAUAAUUUAGGAAGUAAAAAAUGUAAAAAUUUAUUGUCAGUGCUUUGAUUUCAUUUUACACAUCUAUAAUUAAAGCACCCAGAAGCUCUAAAAAACUGAGAAGGGGGUCCCUGCAGUACAUGGUGUUUUGUGGGCGGAGACGGCUCUACUCGUGAUUGGCAGAGGUCUUGAUGUGGGCGGAGACGGCUCUACUCAUAAUUGGUGGAGGUCUUGAAGUGGGCGGAGACGGCUCUACUUGUGAUUGGCGGAUGUCUUGAAGUAGGCGGAGAUGGCUCUUCUCGUGAUUGGUGGAGGUCUUGUGGGCGGAGAUGGCUCUACUCGUGAUUGGCGGAGGUCUUGUGGGCGGAGACGGCUCUACUCGUGAUUGGCGGAGGUCUUGAUGUGGGCGGAGACGGCACUACUCGUGAUUGGUGGAUGUCUUGAAGUGGGCGGGGAUGGCUCUACUUGUGAUUGGUGGAUGUCUUGAAGUGGGCAGAGAUGGCUCUACUCGUGAUUGGCGGAGGUCUUGUGGGAGGAGACGGCUCUACUCGUGAUUGGAGGAUGUCUUGAAGUGGGCGGGGAUGGCUCUACUUGUGAUUGGUGGAUGUCUUGAAGUGGGCAGAGAUGGCUGUACUCGUGGUUGGUGGAGGUCUUGUGGGCAGAGAUGGCUCUACUCGUGAUUGGCGGAGGUCUUGAUGUGGGCGGAGACGGCCCUACUCAUGAUUGGCGGAGGUCUUGUGGGCGGAGACGGCUCUACUCGUGAUUGGUGGAGGUCUUGAUGUGGGCGGAGACGGCCCUACUCUUGGAGUAGCUUUGUCUAGUUGGGCAGGAAGCAACGUGUUUUUUAAGAUUAAUCUUAGUCAUAACUUG